AUGUGAGUGUAUAAAUAUUUAUACAAAGAUAUAUAUAUAUAUAUGUAUACGCAUAGCAAAGCUGUCUUUAUAUUGUACUAGUUUAUAUUUAUGUCUUUUUUUUUUUUGACACAUACGCACACGUGUAUACAUGUAUAUUAUAUAUAUACACACGCACAUGUAAGUGCAUAAAUAUAUAUAUAUUUAUAUAUAUGAGUAUGUGUGUUUCUGUAUAUCUUUUUAAAAAUGGAAGAUUAUAGUACCAAAAACGAAAAAAUAUUAUCCGGAUAUGUACCUGCCGAUGAGUUUAUCAGCAAAGAUUGGAAAGCCCUACUUACACAAAAACAAAAAGAGGCUGAAGAUGAUGUAGAUAGUAUGAAAGAGUACCUAGAAGGAAUAAUAAGUACUUUUAAAAAUAAAGGUUCAAUAUAUAACUCAAUAUGGAAAGAGCAGAAAGUAUUUUUCGGAGAUGAUGGUAUAUUUAUCGGAAGCGAAAUUUUUAAUAUAAGUCAUGUAAGUUAUUUUAUAGAUUCAGAUGAUUUGAAAAAUGUAAACUAUAAUAAUGAAUUUUUUAAUAACAUGCUCAAAGUGUUAGAAGAAAAAUUGAUUAAUUACAGUCAGGCAAACCUUUUAGAAAAUCGAUCAUAUGACAGUAUGUCAUUACAUACCGAUCAUUAUAAUUUGGAUAGUAAUAGUACUACAACAGCUACUGACGUUAAUAAUAAUAACAGUAACACUAAAGAAUAUGAUAUGAGUAACUAUAAUGACAAUAACAGUUUUACAACAGAUUGUCAAUGUGAUAAUGCAACAAUAGUUAUGAAUAAUCAAUCAGUACAAAGUGAAAAUGAUAGUAAUAGUGGCUACGAUAGUAGUACUAACUAUAGGCAAUCAAAUGAUUCACGUGUUAGAAAUUUUGUUGAAAUGAUGUAUGGCAAUGAAGACCAAAGUGGUCUCUGUGACAUUGAUAAAAAUAUAAUUCAUCGUUUUAUUAAUGAAAAUAAUAUAAAUGAUGUUACUUUUUUUAAAAACAGUGAUAAUUUGAAAAAGUUAAUGGAACGUGUUAUGAUUCCAUUAGCUGAAAAUAAAGAUUAUAAAUAUGUAUGCUUAUUACUAAAAUCUACUGAUGGAAUAUCAACUAGAAUAUUACGCCUUACUCCAAAUGGUACAAACACAUCUACAUUAUUAAAUACAUUAAAAGGGACAAUUAAGUUUUUGUCCGAUCUUCGUGAAUUUUUCAAAAAGUUCAGAUCAGUUGUUGUAAUAAAAGAUCAUAUUUAUGGUGAAUUUUGUGCUUAUAUUAAAUUUCAUAAAUGUGAUCCAAAUUUUAGUGCAACAAAGGCCAUGGAGGAAUUUUUUAAUUCCUUAAAUGAUACUACAAUGGACAUAAUAUAUACUGGAUUAAAUUCAUAUAAUUUAAGUUUGUUAGAAGAAGCUGUUUCCUACUGUCCUAUUUCAACUUAUGCUUUUUAUAAAAAUAUAAAACGAAUUACAGAAUUAAAUGUUAAUGAUAAUAAGAGAAGGACAUGGAAAAAUGUAUGUAGUUUACAAAAGUUAUAUAAACAAUUUAAAAAGGCAACAGAUCAAGCGGAAAUAAAUAAUUCUAAUUAUAAUAUUACUAGUGAAGUAAAAACUCCAACAGGACACCAUCAAACUUCAUCUUAUAAUGAAACUACACAAUUAUAUAAUACUAUAGGUAAUAAUUAUACGCAUCGUAAUGAAACAAAACGACCAUAUGUAGACCCUAUAAAAAAUAAGUAUCAAAAUAGUGCAACAAAGUAUAUAACUAAUUAUAACAGUAUCUGUUACGAGGCUAGUCAUAUUAAUAGUACUUGUAAUAAUAGUAUAUGUGAGAAUAAUACCUAUAGUGAUAAUGUAUAUAAUAUUGAUAAAUAUGGUAAUUAUAUGCAUAAUAAUAAUAAUAUCACUAUUGAUCUUAACAGUUGUAAGAAUAGUGAAUCACAUUCGGUUGUUGCUUUAGGCAUUACCAAAGACGAGUGUAUAAAUUGGUCCAGCAGUAACUGCACCGAUAGUAAUAAUAAUAAUAGUGACAAUAAUGAUAGUGAUAAUAUAAAUAAUAAUAGUAAUAUUUAUAGUAACAUUUAUAAUAACAGUAUCAGUAACAUUGGCAGUAACAGUAACAUUGGCAGUAACAGUAACAUUGGCAGUAACAGUAACAUUGACAGUAACAGUAACAUUGACAGUAGCAAUGAGCGUGACGUGUUUAUUGAUAAUCCAGAUGGUAAAAACUUACAUGAAAAUCUGGACGAUAAUAAUUGUAGCGAUACUAAAAAUAAAGACACAUGUAGUAUUAGUAGUUACAGUAAUAAAGAUAGCUGUAGUUAUGACGAUAGUAACAAAGUCAGUAAUAAAAAUAGUUGUAAACAUAAUUCGUAUAAAACAAAAACACAUAAUAACACUUGUGACAUGGUAAAUCAAUUUAAUGAUACAUGUUUAUUUGUUACUUCAGAUGAAGACAAUACCC
rnacentral:lncRNA from 1 species